rnacentral:rRNA from 1 species
GACAGAGGGUGCAAACGUUGUUCGGAAUUACUGGGCGUAAAGGGCGCGUAGGCGGCCUGAUAAGUCGGGGGUGAAAUCCUGUGGCUUAACCACAGGGCUGCCUCCGAGACUGUCGGGCUCGAGCACAGUAGAGGCAGGUGGAAUUCCCGGUGUAGCGGUGGAAUGCGUAGAGAUCGGGAAGAACAUCGGUGGCGAAGGCGGCCUGCCGGGCUGUUGCUGACGCUGAGGCGCGACAGCGUGGGGAGCAAACAGG